GGGGUUGUGGCUCAGUGGUAAAGAGCUCGCCUCACAUGUGCAGAGCCCUGGGUUCAAUCACCAGCACCACA
rnacentral:tRNA from 1 species